rnacentral:misc_RNA from 1 species
AUUCAAUUGUCAAAAAAACUCUUAAAUUUACCAUUCAUGUAGAUAUUAUAACUUACAUAAAUGUUAAAUAAGUGCACAGAAAAAUCUCUCCAUCCAAUGUUUGGUAAAAUCAUUUUCUCAGGGGUUAGGGUGGGACUUAAUGGGGGAUGAAUUUUUAUAUAGAUUUAAAUGAAAAAAAAUCUUCUUCUCAAAAGUCAUGUACAAAUGUAGUAUUGUUCAAAUCAUUGUCCCUGGGGUAGGGUGGGCCCACAAUGAUCGGUUGACAUUGCACAUAGGAAUAAAUAGAGAAACAUUUAUAAAAAUCCCUUUUCUCCUAAACUAUUUGGUCAUUAAAACUGAAACUUGUGUAAAAGUAUCCUCAGAUAUUUUAGAUGGAUAUUUUUUUUUUAAAUCGAAAUCCUGAGGCUAAGGUAGGGCCAAAAAGGGUUGACAUAUAACAUAGGAAUAAAUUAGUAAAAAAAAAAAAUUUUAAACUGAAACAACUAAAGGGACUCAAUGUUUAACAUAAGAAUAUGUUUAGAAAAGUUUGAAGAUCUUUUCAAACAAGAUCUACUGUACCAAUCAUCAAGAUAUUUUGUAUUUGAUAUCAUAUAUGACUCUCUUUGAUUUUGACCAGUGCCAAAUUUAAAGUUAUUGCAUUGUUAGAUAUUAAUUCAUGUCAUAAUUGGAUUAAAUAUAAAAUCUAAAGC